ensembl:lncRNA
AGGCAUUUUGUGGGGAUACGGGAUGUAUGGGACAGGCUUCUCCCUAAGCAUAGUGAGACGGUGCUAUCGUGCUCUAACAAACUGACCUUGCUGCCGAGAAAACAAGAAAGAGGAAGGAUGUGAAGGAAUGAGGAAGCAACUAAAUAAGGCACGAUGUUAUCCAGUGCAAACCAAUCAGGGCAGAACAUGACGGCACAGUUGCUUAAGUUAAAAUAUAUAAGCUGUGCAUAGUAGUGAAUAAACACCAUUUUACUGCUCAUCAUAUUGGUGUACGUUUGCAGUCAUUUGGCCCUGACCAGGUAGUUGGCCAGUACGCGCUAGGGCUAACACAGGAAGCUAACAUCACAGUUGCUGAAGGCAACAAAUGGUGCCCUGUGUGAGGCACACUGUGUUUUGAUACUCUCUGCGCAACCACGAGACCUGGGGUGAUGCCACAGCCCAAGUAACUUACAGUGAGGGGGAGCCUGCAGACGAUUGGGGUGAUGCCCUGCAGAAGAUCAUGAUGUUGACGAUAGUGCUGGCCGGCAAGUAGAACCUGUGUUGCGGUGGGGUCUGGGGGGGACGACAGGAGUCCAUGGAGACCCAUGCUGAUGGCAGUGUUGACUGUGAAUCUGAGGUGACGGCAACGGGCUGACCAUGGAACAUGUUCUUAAGAAGCUGCUGGUGGGAAAACCGAAGCCAACUCCAGAGCAACCGAGGGACAGACGAGGGGACCGAGAACCACUCAUCAAGAGGAGCACCACACCUGCAAUGCCGAUACUUCUGAUACUGCUGAUGUUUAUGGUGUCACCGUGAUGUGAGUCCGGGACCUGAGUGUAACGAUGAUGUUAAGUUGUGGAGUGUCACAGCAUGUAUGUUCGCGUCGAUUUUUGCGCCGGGAGUCUCAGCAGCGGCGGCUUUGACCCAAAUAGAAAGAUUGGCAUGUUGGUCUGCAAAACAGGCCAAUACGACCACGCUUGUGUUAAAUGCUAUGCUUGAAGAUCUUAAUAGUGUCCGCCAUGCACUGCUACAGAAUAGAGCAGCUAUUGACUUCUUGCUGUUGGCUCAAGGACAUGAGUGUGAGGAUGUCGAAGGAAUGUGCUGCUUUAACCUCAGUGGUCACAGCAUGUCGAUUCAUAAACAACUACGAUGGAUGCAAGAACAUACACAGAAGAUUAAAGAAGAGAGUGAUCCCUUUGGGAAUUGGCUGAACAGACUGUUUAGGGGAGUGGGUUCAUGGUUAAAGCAAUUGCUUAAGGUUUUUGUGAUAGGGCUUGCAAUCUUUGUAUGUAUUCUGAUCUGUCUUCCAUGCUUUGUAGGAUGCUUGCAGAACUCCUUGCAAUGAAUGAUGGAAAAGACUUUUGACCAUCGGAUUGAGUAUCACAGACUGUGUGAAAGGUUGUAGAAGGGUGUAGGUUGUUGCGUUCGUGCUGCAACGGGGCAAGGCUUGGCCGAGCGCGGGGAGUCAGGUUAUGAGGGCAAAGGACUCCCUGUUGCUCUGAUGUUUUCUUAAAGGAUUGCAGUAAAAGAGUAGUAGAAAUAGUUUGCUGAAAUGUAUUUAGGAUUAGAUGCUUUGCAUUGCUUCGCGAUGUACGGGUUAGACGUAUGUAAGUAGUAUUUAGCUUAGGGAGGGGGAGAUGUUGUAGUAGGCGUUUUGCGGGGUUACGGGAUGUACAGGACAGGCUUCUCCCUAAGCAUAGUGAGACGGUGCUAUCGUGCUCUAACAGACUGACCUUGCUGCCGAGAAAACAAGAAAGAGGAAGGAUGUGAAGGAAUGAGGAAGCAACUAAAUAAGGCACGAUGUUAUCCAGUGCGAACCAAUCAGGGCAGAACAUGACGGCACAGUUGCUUAAGUUAAAAUAUAUAAGCUGUGCAUAGUAGUGAAUAAAUACCAUUUUACUGCUCAUCAUAUUGGUGUACGUUUGCAGUCAUUUGGCCCUGACCAGGUAGUUGGCCAGUACGCGCUAGGGCUAACACAGGAUGCUAACAUCACAGUUGCUGAAGGCAACACCUGUGUACCUCAGGCAUUAAUGUAGGUUGCACUUUGAGGCCAGACCUUAAGAAAUAAUAUUUUGCAACAUCUAGAGGUGCGGUGCUCCCAGUCCCUCAUCCAGAAAGCAAAAGUGGUUAAUAUCCAUUCAAGCCUGUUUAGUUCCUUUCUUUUGAAGCAUAUUUUUAAUAUAAUGAAGCUUCUCAUUCUGCAGAGCAGGUAGGGAGUGAUUCAAUAUAUAAAUUCUUUUGAGACCUAAAUUGCUUUAUUGACAAAUACCAAUGGCCAAUUGAAAUGUCCUUGGGGAUCUCUACCAUUUUCUCUUGUAUGUUAUGAGGAUUUAGGAUUUUGUUUGUGUGUUCUCACCCCAAGUGGAAUAGUAGAAUGCACAACAAAGUGAGCUCGACAGGGGCAGCUACCCCAUGAGGAACAUAUGACUAUUCCUUAAACAGACAGCACCCUAUUAGAUAUUUAUUUUACAGUUUUUCUUUACAGUGACAGUGGAGUACUUCUCCCCAGUACAUAAUUUUCAUGUCAUCUAUUUGAUAUGUAAUACAGUUUCUCGGGAUUGCUAAUAUUCAGUUGAUUAAUUAAAGAGAUAUCACUGAAAAGAACCUUCUUUUCUCUAUGACCUGGCAACUGACUGCUAGAAGGAAAGAAAUGUGUGGCUUGAAUGUGAAAAUUACCAACUGAAAAGUUUUAUGCAAUUGCCUUGACAGAAUUAUAUGAAGGUAAUCCCUCAAGCAAGUGUUACUUUUCUUGCUGUUCCCCAAUCCUAUCUAUUACUCUUUUAAAAAAUUGUUUUUUCUAUUUUUUUAUUCUUUUUUACUGUUGCACCCAGAGGCUGCACCAAGAUUGAAGGCUGUUGCAUUAACAAGGGGAAAACAAAUCCUACAAUGUCCAAAUCAGACAGGCUAUUUUGAUGAACAAUUGCAUUUCUCGUUUGAAAUAGAACAGAGUAGGCCAGACAAAGAUCUUACCACUUCUUCUCCUUAUGUUCUUUAAAAUUUCUUCCUCACAGUUAUUAAUUAGAAGCAAUUUCAAAGCUUGAGAUGGAGUGUCUAUUAUUUUUAUUUUUCACUUCCAACCAGCUUAAAUAGAAAAGUUCAAAUAAAAGUUUAUAAGCUGCUUGUUAAGACUUGGCCUGUAGUGCUUACAGUGCCAGAUGUUUAAAAACCAUUUGGAUGUGGUGCUCAGGGACAUGAUUUAGUGAAGGGUUGUUAGAGUUAGGGUGGUAUGGUUAGGUUGUGGUUGGACUUGAUGAUCUUUAGGGUCUUUUCCAACCUGAGCAGUUCUAUGAUUCUGUGAUUCUAUGUCGCUAUGAGACACUUGUUCUUCCAUUCUCUCCUCCUCAUGAGUGUAGAAGAGGAAUGUAAUAAUUCAGAACUGACCCCAGGUCCAUCUUUUUAGACAUACUAUAUAUGAGACUAUUAUUGCAAUGGCUUAGGAUUUUGCGGUAUUUAAUAAAUCUGAGCUCAAAACUCCCCAGAGGUUUAGAGUAGUAAUUCUUAAUAAUGUUCCACAGUUUCCCAUACUGUCAUCCCAAAUUCUGUUAAAAUCUUCAAAUUAAAACUUGAGGACUGAUAACAAAAUAUUCCUCUUUUCCAAAUAUUAGUACUGAAAAGGAAUUUCCAAAUAUGAAUAACAAAACAUUGAAUAAAAAAUACAAAUUCUCCAAAGGAAUGUGGGCAGAUGUGGAUGCAAGCUUUAUAUGCCACAUGAUAGAGUAUCCAGCUCUCAGUCUUAAGUCCAUGUUUUUACACAGUUACAUUUUUUAAUCUAUAAGAUAGUCUCACGAUGUUUGGGAAAAGCUCCUUACAGUAGUGAAUAUGGGCAUGAUGGCUUUUAGGUAGAUUUUUGAGCCUGUCUGUCUGAGGGCCAGGAAUGAAAAAAAGUCUGUCUGAGGGCCAGGAAUGAAAAAAGAUAUAACUGUAAAGCCUGAUUAACGUGGCCAAAAUGAGAUGUGACUAGGCAGAGAUGGGAUAAAACCACAGUGAUAUCAUAGGAAGAGGUGUGUGAACCAGGGAAAUGGAGCCAAUGAGAAUGAAUGAAUAGGAGUGGUUCAGUAGGAGCUUUGUCAGUUGGUGAGGAUGGAUUCUGCUGAAUUUUGGAUCAGUACCAUAAGAGCAGGAAAAGGGGAGAGUAUGAAAGAACAAUUAAAGAGAUAAGAAGUCGAUUAAGGAGAACUAGAAACAUUAAAAGUUAUGUCCUUCUUAUUUUCUCAGAGUGUAUCUGCUAUAAAAUAUUUCAAUUUACCAUUUGAAAAGAGAAUAUGGUAGAUUAUAAUUCUGUUUCUAUGCAUUCUGCUUCCAAAAAAGUUUCCUUUAAUUGAGCACCAAAGAUACUUAACAAAAUAAAAUUAACUUAAUGUUGUGCUAUUUGAUUCAGAAC